UGUACUGUUCAUCAGUGCUUCAGCUCAGAAUGAAACACACCGUUACGGUUUUACUGGCCUUUCUGCUGCUCUGCACUGCCGUCUCUUUUUCAGCAGUUCAUUGUCUGCAGUGCAUCACCUGUAAAGAUCCAGCAGAUCCCACCUGCUCAGAACCAACCCUGGAGACCUGCAGUGCAUCACCUGUAAAGAUCCAGCAGAUCCCACCUGCUCAGAACCAACCCUGGAGACCUGCAGUGCAUCACCUGUAAAGAUCCAGCAGAUCCCACCUGCUCAGAACCAACCCUGGAGACCUGCAGUGCAUCACCUGUAAAGAUCCAGCAGACCCCACCUGCUCAUAACCAACCCUGGAGACCUGCAGUGCAUCACCUGUAAAGAUCCAGCAGAUCCCACCUGCUCAGAACCAACCCUGGAGACCUGCAGUGCAUCACCUGUAAAGAUCCAGCAGAUCCCACCUGCUCAGAACCAACCCUGGAGACCUGCAGUGCAUCACCUGUAAAGAUCCAGCAGAUCCCACCUGCUCAGAACCAACCCUGGAGACCUGCAGUGCAUCACCUGUAAAGAUCCAGCAGAUCCCACCUGCUCAGAACCAACCCUGGAGACCUGCAGUGCAUCACCUGUAAAGAUCCAGCAGAUCCCACCUGCUCAGAACCAACCCUGGAGACCUGCAGUGCAUCACCUGUAAAGAUCCAGCAGAUCCCACCUGCUCAGAACCAACCCUGGAGACCUGCAGUGCAUCACCUGUAAAGAUCCAGCAGACCCCACCUGCUCAUAACCAACCCUGGAGACCUGCAGUGCAUCACCUGUAAAGAUCCAGCAGAUCCCACCUGCUCAGAACCAACCCUGGAGACCUGCAGUGCAUCACCUGUAAAGAUCCAGCAGAUCCCACCUGCUCAGAACCAACCCUGGAGACCUGCAGUGCAUCACCUGUAAAGAUCCAGCAGAUCCCACCUGCUCAGAACCAACCCUGGAGACCUGCAGUGCAUCACCUGUAAAGAUCCAGCAGACCCCACCUGCUCAGAACCAACCCUGGAGACCUGCAGUGCAUCACCUGUAAAGAUCCAGCAGAUCCCACCUGCUCAGAACCAACCCUGGAGACCUGCAGUGUUCUACAAACACCAGCGGCUCUCUGCAAUCGUCCGGUUCAAACUCAACUAUCAAUGAGAGGAUCGUGAAGGGAUGCAUGGACUACAGUCGUCAGUCAAGCCCCAAAAUGUCUUUGAAUAUCAGUUUCCACCAAUUCACGUCUUCAUGCUGCAACAGUGACACUUUCUCUGGCGACCCCCUCAGUGGACUUCAGUGUGUUUCAUGCACUGAACCAGAAGAUGACGUUUGUGUUCAGGUUGUGACCUGUCAGGGAGUUCAAGAUCACUGUCUUAACGACACAGUGACAGCAAGUAGGUCUGUGACUCUCCGAGGCGGUGUCUCCAGGAAUCUAGUGACUCCGGUUCUAACUCUGGUUCUGUGUCCUAUAAGUCUCUGUGACAGAAACAGUGCUAUGAACAUGGACAAUGCUAUGAAUGACAACCAGUCUGUAGCACUUACAGUUCUCACUCUGCUUGUUGGGCUAACAACCACCGCACUUCUAAUGACAACAGGAUGCAUUAGUUGGAUAGUAUUAUAUUGCAGUCGUGGUGGAAAAAUCAAAAUAAUUGGACUAAAAAGGAGGGUAGUUGUAUAGGCACAUCUAUGGACACAAUGUGUAAAUCAGCACUUGAAUUUAAUUUAAAAAAGGUGAUAUAUAAAAAAAAUGUG